UACGUAGGGUGCGAGCGUUAAUCGGAAUUACUGGGCGUAAAGCGUGCGCAGGCGGCUUGCCAAGUCAGAUGUGAAAGCCCCGGGCUCAACCCGGGAACUGCGUUUGAAACUGGCAGGCUAGAGUUUGGCAGAGGGGGGUGGAAUUCCACGUGGUAGCAGUGAAAUGCGUAGAGAUGUGGAGGAACACCGAUGGCGAAGGCAGCCCCCUGGGCCAAAACUGACGCUCAGGCACGAAAGCGUGGGGAGCGAUCCGG
rnacentral:rRNA from 1 species